AGUGAAAAAUUGUAAAUUUUAUGACCACAUUUCGAAAAAAUGUGAAAUUUUUUCCUUAUGUCCAAACGGGCUCUUAAUAUCUACUAGUUUUUUCCAGGUUACUUCUUUGCCAUCAUUAAACUUCCAUAACCAUUUGUAAAGCAAGCUUUUGUUGUGAAGCUUGAGGUUCCUCACUCCUUCACUCCUAACCCCACUCCUUCCUUACUGUGUUCCUGAAGUCCUCCAGAGGAAGAUAAGAGAUAGUAAUGUCAGUAAGGAUGGAUAGAAGGAUAAGUGCAGUUUUAUAAGUAGAUAUGGGAAAUGGUUAACGAUUAUGAGCUAAAGUAUGGUAGUACGACGAGGUUCGUAAUCUUUACAAGAGGGAGCUUAUUUUUUUGCAUUCCGUGUCCACGAAAAACUCCCUACUGAUUCUAUCAAUUUGCUCCUCCACUUUAAUAGGAAUUGGGAGUAAAGACAUCAAGUAUGUCGGGAUCCCAUCCAGCACGCUAUUCACCAAAGUCAACCUUCCUAGGAAAAUAUUGUUGUUUCAGGGUGCUAGCUUUCUCUCUUAUUUCUCAGUGACUCCUUGCCGUACACUGUUAUCUUUUGGUUUUGCACCCAAUAGUAUCCCCAAGUAAGUAUUAGUUAGAAACUUCUUAAUUUUACAACCCAUUAAAUCUGCCAGGGAUCCAAUUUCUUGAUCAGCAUUAACAGAAAGAUUGAACUUUUGGACAUAUUGAUCUUCAGGCCUUUGACAACUUCAAAAGCCAGCAACACAACUCUUGAAUGCAAUAUUUGUUCCUUAUCAGCUCUGCACAACAAUAGGUAUCAUCCGCAUACAAAGUAUGUGAUAUAUCCAGUGUCCUACUUAUCCAUCCCUUUUCAGUACAUUAUUAAGCAUGAUGUUUAAGAUAUAUGCAAAUGCUUCAAAUGCAUCAGUGCCUUUUCGACUUACUCCAUCCUUUCCUCUUCCUUCAAAUGCAUCUGUGGAACCUAGGACUCUGAACUCUUAAAUAGAAAAAAGAAAGGAAGAUGAGUUUGAAGUAUUCACACAAACUCACGCGUUUAAUGCCAAAUCAACUUGGUGCUGACAUCUCUUGGAAGAAUUGUCGUUUUCUAUAUUUAUUACUUACUCCAUAUAGAAGAGGCAAAGUGGUCGACCAAGGGUAAAAGAGUAAUUUUAUAUUUUCAUUAAAAUUGCUACUUUUAUGGGUGCCUAAAAGAGUGCAUUGGAAACAGACUGCUGUAAACACACUCAACACACUCUAGAAGUAUCUUUUAAUCUCAUUCCAAAAAAACAGGUAUUCUUAAUCAUAAUCGGAUGCACUAUCAAUUAGAAGGUAUGACUGAUAUUGCUUUACCAUGGGAUAAGUUGUCUUUAGAUUUAAUAAAACAAGAGGAGGAGCAGUCAAGUCCUGAAAGGAAGAAAAGGACAUAUGUAGUUCUUGUAUCCACAGGAAGUUUCAAUCCUCCUACUUANUAUUCAGAU